GCGGGGGUGCCCUAGCCAGGUCAAUGGGGGUGGACUUAAGAUCCACUGGUGUUGACCUUCGUGGGUUCAAAUCCCACCCCCCGCA
rnacentral:tRNA from 1 species